UGCCAGAAACUCUGGGCAUAUGGCAUUCCCCCAAGACAUGAAGAAGAAAACCAUCACGGUGAUAAUAAGGAAUGCACACUCAUUGGCUGACCUCUUCACUCUCAGGGACAAGAGUCGGUCUCCGGAAAGAAAAGAACAAGCAUUCCCUGUACUUGGACAAAGGACAUUAAAUAUCUGCUGAGGUUUCUAUUUUAAUUGCAGAACUCAGAAAUUUGUGGAGCCAUAUGUACCGCAUUUGAGGUUCCUGACGCCCUCACAUGGCGAGCUCCUUUGGCUGGCUAAACGUUGUCCUAAGCGACCUCAUUAAACCUCCUGGUCACCUGUGAAGUGGACGCAAAACCUCCACCUCUUGAGAUGGGGAAUUAUGACUUUCCUAUUUUCCUCCCAGUACUUGGUGGCAUGAUUGGGAUGCCCACCCGGCUUUUCUGAAUUGGAUAUUUUUUUUGCUGCCUCACAGCCACAUGCAGGACAGUGUGAGGAAUGCCAUCAAGACCCUGAGGACAGCAUGCGUGGGGAUGUGGAGGAGGGAGAGUCGUGCUGUAGCCCAGGCGGGAACUUAGCAGAGGCUGUGUUUGGAUCCGGCUAAGGUGGGGCAGGGGGUUAGAGGCAGAAGCAGCCUGAGUGUGUCAGGAAGUGUGGGUCAUCGAGGCCCUCAGGGUCAUCGGCCAUAGCACCAGCUUGGUU